AGGAGGACAGCUACAGCUACAGCUACUCGUACGAUUUAAACGUGUAGAAUACUUGAAAAACGGAAUUUUUCAUCAAAAGUAGACACAAGUAGCCAAGAUCAAAUUUCACAUGAAAUGUUCCGGUGGUAGAUGCAAAAAUGAGCUAGUGGGAGAAUCCAGUCAAGUGUGUCAAAUGGCUUGUGUAGACGCCUUGAUAAUUCAAAGACCUACAUUUUUAUACAGCAUUGUAGCAGUUUUCAAGAGGUUUGUUAUCCUCCAAACCAAAUUCAAUAUGUACAAUCAGCGGAGCUGCAUGUAAGUAUGUGCUUACGUACAUAUGUACCUUCGAUAGUUCGAGAGCAUACACAAGUACAAUCAUACAUUCCGAUCGUGUUCAUACAUAUGUGCCUUAAACAUCGUACUCUAUACUUUUAGUGUAAAACCGAAUGUCAGUGCUCUAAACAAAUAAAGACGAAACUUAUUCGAUACUACAACUAUUCAACAGUCAUCCAACUCACAUUGGAAUGUGAAAUGUGAUGCAAAUUCCUUUCCAAAAUGCCAUUCUUAGUUCUAAGUAGUCGUAGUAGCAAGUAACGACAUAAGUUGCAGUGAGGUCGAAGAAACGGAAAAAGCAACACACCGAAGCUACUAAAGUUCUCCAAAUCGAUAAGAUUUUAGCAUCGCAAAAUUUGGAUCAACCACAAGGCAAUGAAGAAGAUAACAAUGAAAAUAAUCCAGUAUCUGCUCCAGCAGAACCGAACCUUGAUACGGAUAUUGAUGCACAAAUCGACUAUAAAGAAAAGUUCUUGGCUCUUAAAAUAAAAUAUAGAGAAUUGCGGCGCAAACAUAAAACCUUAGUGCGUUCGGUGGCUGAAACCAAUGAGGUUGAGCUGUAUCCUUCAUCGGGUGUCACGUUAAGUGCCGCAGAAUUAGCGUCAAUCAAACUGAUGUCGAAUCAACCAACGGUGAGAGCAAGAAAUUUGUUUCGCCGUUUGUUUACGUUAGAUGAACUCCGGACCCACUCACUUCUCGGAAAACGAUGUAACGCCAACAGAAAUGCAAUUCCAUUACCGGCAAUUGACCCGAAUCAUUGCAAUGCAGUUAUUGGAUACAUUUUGAAAGAGGAAGGAGUCGAUGGUUUGCCUGCCAAUGAUCUUAGCUCUGCAGAUGCGAAGUUAUUUUUGAAGAAAAAAAGAACACUUAAACGUGAAAUAACCAAAUCUUUGUCGGACUUUUUGCUUGAGGAGACUCGCAAGCCUUUUGUAUAAUUGAUACAUUAAACUUGUCUUCUUAUGAUUUAGAAAGUUUCAAAUUGUAAUCGUUUAUCUAUGAAAUAUAACGUACAAUU